CUCUGUAAUCUGACACACGGAGUACGGAGAUUGAACCCAAGUGAGCGGGAACUCGUUCAACCAGACGUAAUCCCACGGGAAAGCAAGACGGGCGUACCAUGAGGAUAUUGUCUGAUUCGAGAUUCGUUGAGUGCCGAUUGAGCACUCGACCGGAGCUUUAUUGGAAGCUACAUGUGCUGCUGAUGCGUUCCUACUCUCUAUCUAUAUCUGUAAGAGAUGUUCCCAAAAGCCUGCCACUCCACGAUUUGAUCACCGUCUGUCGAAGAUUUCGUAGCAGGAAAGUUUCUGUAAACGUCUAUUUAGCGUUGACGUAAUAGGUCUUCAAACUCUACGUGUAUACGGCGAGAGCACAGUUUCUUCGGACGCUGAGAAAGAAUGUACUUAUGGGACACCUUAGAAGUAUUGUCAUUGAGAAACAGAACGAGAAGAGCCUCUGAGCGAGACCAGUUGAUUGUUAAUAACAAUUCACUGGAAAAUAUUAAAGGAACAUAUUUCAUUUACAACAAAAAACUGUUUAUCAUUACUAGAAUAUUUGUUCAUUUAUAUGCCAAAUUCUGAAAUAAUAUUAGAAUAAUUUGCGAACAUUGCAACAUUACGAGCAUUCAGAGUAUAGAAAGAUAAAGUGAUCUCAGAUGGGACCUUGUACAUAUAGUUCUUGAAUACGAUCGGUAGGAACAAAUGAACACUUGGAUCUAUUUUAAUUCCAAGGUAAAAUUUUAUCGAGAGGAUACGAUCAACUUUGUUACGCGUGAGAAACCAUUCAAAUUAUCCAACAAGUAGGUCAAACGUUAAACGCUUAUCCGCGUGUAUCUCUCGUACGCAAAGAAAUAGAGUAAAUAUUGCGCUCUGUAAUCAAUUAACGAUUCGAAUCGACGCCAGCGGAACGAUACGCGUAUCUAUACAUACAUAUGUACAUAUAGAUACACUUUGGUCCUAUUUUAGAACGCGAGCGUGUUUUGAAUAUUGCACAUUUUUUCACCGAAUUUACGUGUUUCCGGAGUUGGUAUUUUUCCCGUUAUACCAGCAUCAAGAAUGGAAAGACUUUAAACUCUAAUCUCCUUCACCGUUUUAAUUCCUUUCUCGGUAGCGGAAGGGAAAAGAAAAAAAUCGAAGGCACGCCCGUGAAUUUUGAAAAGCACAAUCAACGACGCCACGAUGCGUACCGCAGGGUUUUUACCCCACGGUGGACUGGACUCCCUCGCGCGCAUGGGGAAACGAUAAUCCAGAUAAGCUGCUAAAUGCUAGCAAUUGGAACGGCGGGAUCUCCAGAAACAAUAUUCCGUACUCGAAAUCAGCUAAUACCGAGUAACAAUCCCACCCCGGUUCCUUACACGUAUAGAGUUAGCUUUAUGUAUCGCUCUGCGCAAUUUGUGAGCAUUCAUUGAGAUUCGGGGUCACGCUUAAAAGACUAGAAACUGGCGACGGCACGAAGGAGCAAUAUAGUACGAGGAUAAAAACAGGACCGGCAGAGAGGAAAUGAAAUGGUGAGAGAAUAACGAAGGAAGCGGGGAAUAAAAUAAGGAACAGAGAAACAGAGACACGAAGAAGGGCAGAGGGGAUCGUGAGAGAGGAAGAUGGAAUAUACGGAUAUAUAGAGAAGGACAGAGAUAGAGAGAAGUCAGUGAUGCGGAGUGAAAGUCCUCAAGUAAAAACCAGGCCAGGGCUUCGUAUCUCGAAGCGAACACACCAGGGCCAUUAUGCAAUUACAGCGACGCAUUUGCUGCCGCGUCUUUCCAAUGUUCCCUCGGCCCGUCCUCGUUUCCCCUUAGCAAUUUACCAUCUAAAUCGCUCAAAGUUUUCAAAUUACCAUAACCGCCCAGGCGUCGAUACGCGCAGUAUGCUAUUCCCGGUAAUUAACAACAGACCGUUUAAUCGACAUGGCGUCGAGAUCGAUCUUUCGAUCUAUCGAUUCGCGUCUUUUCAAUCGCGAGCAUGAAACGAAUGGAAACAUCAAACCGCUUUUUAUAUUAGAAGGAGGCUCGAAUAUCGAAUCACAACCGUGUCGAAUAUCUCACGUACACGAGGCACGUGUUAUGUACUUCCGGUAUAUGUGGUCUAUGCGCUUUCCCAUUUAUUAUAUCCGAAUCUGGUAAAAGAUAAAGCAUUGCGUCUAUCGACAUAACAACUUUUCGUUCAUGUAUCUGCGCUUUUAGUGCAAUCGGAUUUUACGAUUAAUUCUCUAGCGCAAGAAACCUGAAUUAUAAAAAUAUCAUAGGGUCUCAUUGUCAGAACGUAAAGUUAAUCAUGUCCUUCGACUUUUAGGAACUCGCCAUUAUAAGAUGACAAACUGUAUGGAUAACCGAAUCAGGCGAAUAAAAGCCGGACGCAUACGAGCAGGCGAAAUAAUGCGUUAAGAAUAAAUGUAAUGAUAAAAA